rnacentral:lncRNA from 1 species
CUUACGUUGAAUGUGAAUGGCAAGACGUGGGCGGAGUCACAAAUGUGGGCGGGACCCAGGGCUGGAUGCUCCGCAUGGAUGCUCAGGCUGAAUGUGAACAUCAUCUCUACAGUCAUAUACUGGAAUUGGAGUUGCGGCUGCUGAUGGUGUUUGCUUCUGAGUGACUUUCCUGUGCAAGGGAACUGUAGAAAGAGUCUCUGGUGUGUCCUGUGAAGGCAGCCUGAAGCCCCAGGGGCCAUGACUGUAGUAGGAGAGUGGCCACCACCUCGCCCUUGUCAGCAUUUAUCUGAGACAGGCUGUGAGACAAGCAUCGAACUUUCAGACAGAAUGACGUCCCAAGAGUCCAGUGUCAAUCGAUGCUAACUGCAGCUUCCUGUGUUGUACAUGCACAAUGAAAUUUCCUUUCAGCCAUAAAGAAGAAUGAAGUUCUGUCGUUUGCGAGAAAAUGGAUGAAACUAGAGACCCUCUUAUUAAGCGAAUUAAAUCCGAC